AUACGUAGGUGGCGAGCGUUAUUCGGAUUUACUGGGCGUAAAGGGUCCGUAGGGGGAUACAUAAGUUUGAUGUGAAAUUUCGAGGCUCAACCUCGAACCUGCAUUGAAAACUGUGUAUCUAGAAUUCGGUAGAGGUAAGUGGAAUUUGUGGUGUAGCGGUGGAAUGCGUAGAUAUCACAAGGAACAUCAAAGGCGAAAGCAGCUUACUGGGCCGAUAUUGACCCUGAGGGACGAAAGCUAAGGUAGCGAAAAGGAUUAGAAACCCCAGUAGUCC
rnacentral:rRNA from 1 species